GCUCUCAAAGGAUAAUAGAUCAUCCAUUGGUCUUAGGAACCAAAAACUCUUGGUGCAAAUCCAAGUGAUAGCU
rnacentral:tRNA from 1 species